AACGUAGGAGACAAACGUUAUCCGGAGUUACUGGGCGUAAAGGGCGUGUAGGCGGUUAGUUAAGUCUGGCGUGAAAGCUCUCGGCUAAACCGGGAGAGGUCGUCGGAUACUGGCAAACUAGAGGACGGUAGAGGCGUGUGGAAUUCCGGGUGUAGUGGUGAAAUGCGUAGAGAUCCGGAGGAACACCAGUGGCGAAGGCGACACGCUGGGCCGUACCUGACACUGAUACGCGACAGCAUGGGGAGCGAACGGG
rnacentral:rRNA from 1 species